CCUACGGGAGGCAGCAGUGAGGAAUAUUGGUCAAUGGGCUUGAGCCUGAACCAGCCAAGUCGCGUGAGGGAAGACUGCCCUAUGGGUUGUAAACCUCUUUUGUCAGGGAGCAACGCGCGUCACGUGUGGCGCCACUGAGAGUACCUGGAGAAAAAGCAUCGGCUAACUCCGUGCCAGCAGCCGCGGUAAUACGGGGGAUGCGAGCGUUAUCCGGAUUUAUUGGGUUUAAAGGGUGCGCAGGCGGAAGGUCAAGUCAGUGGUAAAAUUGAGGGGCUCAACCUCUUCCCGCCAUUGAAACUGGCGUUCUUGAGUGGGAGAGAAGUACGCGGAAUGCGUGGUGUAGCGGUGAAAUGCAUAGAUAUCACGCAGAACUCCGAUUGCGAAGGCAGCAUACCGGCUUCCGACUGACGCUGAUGCACGAAAGCGUGGGUAUCGAACAGGAUUAGAUACCCCAGUAGUC
rnacentral:rRNA from 1 species